rnacentral:lncRNA from 1 species
CUCCCGACGGGGACACUGAGGGGGCAACACGGGAUGACACGCGUGUUCGUGGCGUCACGUGGGUGUGUCGGCGUCAGAACACGCGUGUUGGUGUCAUAACGUGUGUGUCGGCAUCACAACACGCGUGUUGGUGUCAUAAUGUGUGUGUCGGCAUCGCAACACGCGUGUUGGUGUCAUAACAUGUGUGUGUUGGCAUCACAACACGCGUGUUGGUGUCAUAACGUGUGUGUGUCGGCGUCAGAACACGCAUGUUGGUGUCAUAACGUGUGUGUCGGCGUCAGAACACGCGUGUUGGUGUCAUAACAUGUGUGUGUCGGCAUCACAACACGCGUGUUGGUGUCAUAACAUGUGUGUGUGUCGGCAUCACAACACGCGUGUUGGUGUCAUAACAUGUGUGUGUCAGCAUCACAACACGCGUGUUGGUGUCAUAACAUGUGUGUGUCGGCAUCACAACACGCGUGUUGGUGUCAUAACACACGUGUCAGUAUCAGAACACGUGUGUGUCAGCAUCACAACAUGUGUGUUGGCAUCAUAACACACGUGUCAGCUUCAUAACACGUGUGUCAGAAUCACCACAUGUGUGUCAGCAUCAGAACACACGUGUGUCAGCACUGGAACAUACAUGUCGGCAUCGUAACACGUCUGUCAGUAUCAUAACACACGUGUCUGCAUCAUAACACGCAUGUCAGCAUCAUAACACGUGUGUCAGCUUCAUAACACGCGUGUUGGCAUCGUAACACGCGUGUCAGCACUGCAACAUACAUGUCAGCAUCGUAACACGUGUGUCAGCAUCACAACACACGUGUCAGCACUGAAACAUACAUGUCAGCUUCACAACACACGUGUCAGCACCCCACAUGCGUGUCCUUCCUCCCCCCCCCCACCCCACAUGUAUGUCCCCCCCCCAUAUAU